UGUCUUCACAUGCAAUCUCUCUCUGAAUGUGCAAUGUCUUUCCUGCUCGGGAGUGCUGCGUCCUUCACAGUGGAUUGGUUCCUCUCUCGGAGCAGAGAAUGAUGCAUUCUGGUCUUCGGAUACUCAUCUUGCUUGCAGACCUACGAGUGGGAACUGUCACAGGUGCUGAGCCCAGAGGCUGGCUGAUUCUGCGCUUGGAAGCCAAGCAGGGAUAUGUUGGCAUCUCAGUUAAAGAACGUUUGCACUGUGGAGUUCCACCCCAGAAAUAA
rnacentral:lncRNA from 1 species